rnacentral:piRNA from 1 species
UGGGCAAGGUACCUGAAUACAGCGAGC